GCCCGCGGGCCGCGGCGGGGGCGGGGGCGGGGCGGGGGCGUUCCCGGGCCCCCGCCCCGCGGCCCGCCGCCCGUGAUGAUGUCACAAUCGCGGCGGGCCACGGCGUUCCCGGGUCGGCUUCGGGCGCCGAUCGGAGCGGGCAGCGGGCUCCUGAGUCAUGGACUUCCCCUGGCCCCUCCUCUACCACUCCCACCGCCGCGCCGGGCCCCCCCGCAGGGGCUAGCGCUCGCGCGGCGGCUCCGAGGGGGUGGGGCUGCUGGGAAUGGCUGUGCCCCCUUCGGCUCCUCUGCCGUGCUCGCCCUUUUACCUGCGGCGGCAGGCGCCGUGCCCGCAGUGCUCAUGGGGCAUGGAGGAGAAGGCGGCGGCCAGCGCGGGCUGCCGGGAGCCGCCAGGCGCCCCGAGGGCCGCCGCCGUCCCUUGCUUCGGCAUAUCCGUGGACCAGGACGACAUCCUCCCGGGAGCCCUGCGCCUCAUCCAGGAGCUGCGGCCGCAUUGGAAGCCCGAGCAAGUUCGGACCAAGCGCUUCACUGAUGGCAUCACCAACAAGCUGGUGGCCUGCUACGUGGAGGAGGACAUGCGGGACUGCGUGCUGGUCCGGGUGUACGGGGAGCGCACUGAGCUGCUGGUGGACCGGGAGAAUGAGGUCAGGAACUUCCAGCUGCUGCGAGCACAUGGCUGCGCCCCCAAACUCUACUGCACCUUCCAGAAUGGGCUGUGCUAUGAGUACAUGAGGGGCAUGGCCCUGGGACCCGAGCACAUCCGGGAGCCCCGGCUCUUCAGGCUAAUCGCCCUAGAAAUGGCAAAGAUUCACACCAUCCACGCCAACGGCAGCCUGCCCAAGCCCACCCUCUGGCACAAGAUGCACAAUUAUUUCACCCUUGUGAAGAACGAGAUCAACCCCAGCCUUUCCGUAGAUGUCCCCAAGGUGGAGGUAUUGGAGCAGGAGCUGUCCUGGCUGAAGGAACACCUGUCGCAGCUGGACUCCCCGGUGGUGUUCUGUCACAAUGACCUGCUUUGCAAGAACAUCAUUUACGACAGCACCCAAGGCCACGUACGGUUCAUUGACUAUGAGUACGCCGGUUACAACUACCAAGCUUUUGACAUUGGCAACCAUUUCAACGAGUUUGCAGGUGUGAACGAGGUGGAUUACUGCCGCUACCCCGGCCGGGAGACCCAGCUACAGUGGCUGCACUACUACCUACAGGCACAGAAGGGCAUGGCUGUGACCCCCACGGAGGUGGAGAGGCUCUACGUGCAAGUCAACAAGUUUGCCUUGGCAUCUCACUUCUUCUGGGCACUCUGGGCCCUCAUCCAGAACCAGUUCUCCACCAUCGACUUUGACUUCCUCAGGUACGCAGUGAUCCGGUUCCAUCAGUACUUCAAGGUGAAGCCUCAAGUGUCAGCCUUGGAGAUGCCAAAGUGACCAGCUUCCCCAUCUCUCCCUUACCCACCUGCCCGGCCAGACCCGUUCUCCGGGGCUCAGUCCUGCUCUGGGGUCCGCCCCCUUGGACAAGGUGGGAGAGGGGACAGAUCCACCUCUGGAGCUGAGGGCAGAAAUAACCACUGCGAAGGCAGCUUCGUUUCCAGCCUCCUGGGGCCUUGAUGUCACAGCGUUGGAGACGGUGUUGCAGUGGUGAGCAGGGAAUGGCUGGGACAGGGCCCCCCAGGUACCAUCCUGUGCCCCUACGGCCCCCCGCCACCACCUGCACCAAAGGAGCGAACCUGCAGGCACCACCCCACUGCCUUUGAGAAAACAUCCUCAUUCCUCCAGAGCUCCAGGAGGAGGAGACAGGUGGGGGGUAGGGUUGGGGGGGAGGGGUAGUUUAGGACACCCCGCCCCCUCAAAGCUUGGAGACCUCUCUCUCCUUUCACUGCCACCCCAGACCCCAGACUAACCAGCUCCCCUUGCCCCUGCUCCAAGCACCAGGCCUCAGCAACUCCCCAGGGAUGGGGAGGGGGCAGAACGGAGGGUGCGUGGGCUCUACAGGAGCUCUAGCCAAAGCACACCAGGGCAGAGGUUCAUCUCUGCUGGGCUCUGACCCUCAGCCUUUGCAGGAGGCACAGAGAGGGCAGAGAAUGCCCUAGGCUUCCCGGAAAGGACUAGAACCUUCUGUUCCUGGCCUCAUCGCCUGCCUGACCCUAUGCUGCCUCUCCCAGGGCAGAAGGGGUAGGGCUCCAGGGCACCAGCGAACAGUCCUCAUGGAGAGCACUGUCCAUCCUGGAAGGAUCCAGAGCAUGUGAUUCCAUGAGAGCAGGACAAGGGUUCCUGUAGUGGGAGGAGGAUGGUUUUGGCCCCAGUCAGCCAAGACCACAGAGGACCUGGGAAUGGGGAAGUGAGAGGAACUCAGGACUGGCAGAGGAUGAGGGUGAGCCUGGCUGGGAGUGUCCUGACGGACGGCCCUGAUUUGGUUAGAAACACAGUGUGGGAGAUAGUGGAGUCUGAUGGGAGAUGUCAGUGCCAAGUUAAAAUGAGCAAUUCUCCCCAUGACCACUAGAGGGCAGCCUUGCUCAUCUUCCCAAGGACCACUUCCGUCUUUCCCUGGGGGGCCAGGGAGGCUGGGUUGUGCUUGUUAAUUCCACCUGAGCUAAGAGGAGAAGCUCUGGAGUGUGGGCCAGGAAAAACUCGCAAAGGCCAGUAGCCAGGACCUAGUAAUUCCUGGGGGAGUCUUCACUCCCAAGUUAAAGACCCUGGAAUGAAGCACACCUAACUUCUCUCGUCACCACUCUCUCCUAUCUCCCCGGUUGUGAACACACCACCUCUAUUAAUCUGACCCAGGUCUCACUCUUCCACUAGAAUUAGGCUUCAGCUUUGCUGCCCCCACUCCAUACAACGGGACUGAUAUCUGAUAAAGAGUUGGUCUUUUUAUUGAUGGUUGUUAAGCAUUUUGGAAGUUUUGGUUUGUCAUCAGCCCUUUUAAGUCUAAUGGGCUGUUACUUCUCAGUGCCUUACGUGUUUGAAAUCCUCAUUCAAAACAAAGGUCACAGCGCCCUGAAGCACAUCACUGGCGCCCCUGCUUCAUUACUCAGUAUCCUGGAGGGCUCCUAAAUGGGACUGGGGCAUCCAUGGGAGCCCUUUCCUGGGAGGAGGGUCCACCGCUUUCAUUAGGUUUUCAUGGGGCUCCUUCUCCAAAAGGAGGUAAGGACUACAGAUAAGGCUUAACCACAGAUGAAGCCCAGACAGGAGACCUGACACCAGCCAAGGCCACAAGGCCAGAAGUGGCCUCCUGACUGCUUACGGUGCUCUCCCUGCUGCCUUACCUUCUUAGGACCGGGGUAGACCAAUGUGUGGGGAGGUCUAGCUUACUUCCUGGAGGCAGGGGCAGUAUCUUCUUCGGGGUGCAGGCUGCUCUCUGAGUGGCCUCUGUCCCUCCAAAGGCUUGGCCUGGGCUUCCCUGGGCUCAGAGGUUCGUUCCCAGAACCCACACCCGAAGUUCUAGGGAGCUGCCACAAGGGGGCAGUGGUGCCUGGGCUAGCGCCAGUUAGGACUCGUGGCUCCAGGCCAGCCUCCCAGGUCCCCCACUCACAAGGACCAGAUUCUGAAAUGGUCUGUCUUUAUUAUGCCAACAGAAAACAAAAAAAUUCCCCAAGUGUAAACAGGAGAAAGGUGCUGGUUAAGUUACUCAUCAUUAUCUUAUUAUUAACAAAAUAAAGCACUAUCUAUGUUUACAGUCAUAAAAAAA